AGCUUUGCGCAGUGGCAGUAUCGUAGCCAAUGAGGUUUAUCCGAGGCACGAUUAUUGCUAAUUGAAACCAUUAUACCAUCUACCC
rnacentral:snRNA from 1 species